GACGAACGCUGGCGGCGUGCUUAACACAUGCAAGUCGAACGGAAAGGCCCUGCUUUUGUGGGGUGCUCGAGUGUCGAACGGGUGAGUAACACGUGAGUAACCUGCCCUUGACUUUGGGAUAUCUUCAUGAAACUGGGGCUAAUACCGGAUAGGAGCUCCUGCUGCAUGGUGGGGGUUGGACAGUUUCUGCGGUUGGGGAUGGACUCGCGGCUUAUCAGCUUGUUGGUUGGGUAGUGGCUUACCAAGGCUUUGACGGCUAGCCGGCCUGAGAGGGUAACCGGCCACAUCGGGAGUGGGGUACGCCCACGCCUCCUACGGGAGCAAGUGGUGGGGAAUAUUGCACACUGGGCGGAAGCCUGAGGCAGCCACGCAGCGUGCGGGAUGCCGGCCUUCGGGUUGUAAACCGCUUUCGCCUGUGACGAAGCGCGAGUGACGGUAAUGGGUAAAGAAGCACCGGCUAACUACGUG
rnacentral:rRNA from 1 species